GUAGGGGGCAAGCGUUGUCCGGAAUCAUUGGGCGUAAAGCGCGCGUAGGCGGCCCGGUAAGUCCGCUCUGAAAGUCCAAGGCUCAACCUUGGAAUGCGGGUGGAUACUGCCGGGCUAGAGUCCGGAAGAGGCGAGUGGAAUUCCUGGUGUAGCGGUGGAAUGCGCAGAUAUCAGGAGGAACACCAAUAGCGAAGGCAGCUCGCUGGGACGGUACUGACGCUAAGGCGCGAAAGCGUGGGGAGCGAACAGGAUUAGAUACCCUGGUAGUCCACGCCGUAAACGAUGGGCAUUAGGUGUGGGAGGUGUCGACUCCUCCCGCGCCGUCGCUAACGCAUUAAAUGCCCCGCCUGGGGAGUACGGCCGCAAGGCUAAA
rnacentral:rRNA from 1 species